CCGUCGUCGCUCGUCCGUUUCAAGGUGCUCGUUCGCUGCGUGCUAGUGUGCCGCGAUGUUUUAAGACUCCCGCUGUUGGUGCAUCGUGCUUUGUUGUUCGAAUACUUCCAGAACAAAUCCCGGAAUAUGGUGCCGGACCCCAAAAGAAUGACAGAAUGGAAGCGUUUUUAAAGUAUUCCGGAAGGCCACACAGCUGAUAGGUGCGCCCAGAGAAAAGCUGAAGAAUUGCAGGAUCGGUUCAUUUCAAGAAGAGAUGCCAUGAAUUAUCCGAUAUCGUCUGUUCAUUUUCUCCGUGUUUAUCAUCACUAGUUAUACGGAAAUCAGCGUCUUUGGAAAUGUAGUCAAUAAAGUGCGGCCAAUAUUAGCUGUCUU
rnacentral:lncRNA from 1 species